rnacentral:tRNA from 1 species
GGGGGUGUAGCUCAGUGGUAGAGCACUUGCUUAGCAUGUAUGAGGCCCUGGGUUCCAUCCCCAGUUCUGUCA